AGUGAACGCUGGCGGCGUGGCUAAGACAUGCAAGUCGAGCGAUAGAUUCCUUCGGGAAUCGAAAAGACGGCAAACGGGUGCGUAACACGUGAGCAACCUGCCCUAAAGUUGGGAUAGCCUACCGAAAGGUGGAAUAAUAUCGAAUGUGGUCCUUCUUCGCAUGAAGAAGUACUAAAGCUUGUAAUGGCGCUUUAGGAGGGGCUCGCGGCCUAUCAGCUUGUUGGUGAGGAAU
rnacentral:rRNA from 1 species